ensembl:lncRNA
GGACGAACUAUGAGGCAAAUCAAGCAACUUAGGAAAGGAUUAAAGGAGACCAUGCUGUGGCCACUACUUUGUCAGCGUCCGGAUGUGCUUCCAGUCAUUUUCCCACCAGAGAAAAAUUAUGUGUUGACCCCAGUGUGUGUCAUAAACAGCAUCAGCUGGCCUUCCAUGGUGGAAAAUGAUGAUGAAGAUGACAAUGAUGACGAAUGCUCUUUGGAGGAUAAGAGCCGAAUUGCUGGCUACCUUCGUCAGUUCAUUGAAAGUGAAAGCUGCUGACCGACCAGCCCGCCACCCGAAGCACCGGACACCGAAUCCCCGUGCACUCAGCCGGCCGGCAAACAGGAUCACGCAGCACCGAGGACGAGCACCUGACACCUCUGGCACCUUCACGGUUACACCGAAUUAUUAAUAAAUACACCCUCCGGGGCUGCACUUUUCACUCCAACCUGUCGUGUGAUUCUUCAGCCCGCCACACUGGUGGAGAAUGCGGGCAGAUUGCUGAAGAAUCACGGACCCACACGACUCUACGGUCUCACC